UACUCCCGCAUCCCUCGCCUCCCACAUCUGGGCUCCUGGCCACCGGUUAGGGAGGCGCCGCCGGCGUGGGGAGGAGGCAGCGACGUCCUGGCGACGGCGUCGACGAGGGGCCGACGCUAGCAUGGAGGGGAGGCGGCGGCGACGUCCUGGCGACGGCAUCGACGAGGGUCGGCGCCGGCUGGAGAGGAGGUAGAGCGAGGCCGGAUCCGUUUACGCUUAGGGUUCGUGCUCGGCGGAUAGUGGCGGCGGACGACUACGGCUUCGGCUGCGGCCGCCCCGUUCUCGGGCGGCGGACGACUGCGGCUGCGCGGGCGGACAACUACGACUGCACGGCCGCGGCUGCGGCCGGCCCGUGCUCGGUGGACAACGGCCGCGGACGACUCCGUCGCCGGCUUGAGCCCGGCAACAGGGCGCUGUGCGUGGCCUCUGUCGGCAGCAUCCGGGGUUUCCGCCAUCGCCAUGCCUAGGUGGUUUCUGGUUUUGGAGAUGGUGAAACUUUGUGAUGUUGAUCUGUUACAUUAGGCAGAAUGUCACAUUGAUGUUCAUUAUCUGCUCACCGAAUUGAAAUUUGCCAGGACCUAAGUAUUCUGUAGAGCAUAAGGAAUCAAGCGCCAUGUUAGUGACUGAAAUCACACCGGUGAAGCUGCAAAACACCAUUAGGCCCACAAUACUUCGAGAACCUGGAUGAUUCACUAGAGUGAAUGAGCUUUAAGAUAAAUCACCUACAGAGUGGAUAUGUGAUUUAAUUAUCCUGUCACUUUCUUUAAGCACUUGCAAUACAUUGUUUAUUAACUGUUUGAGAGGUUGGUGUCAUAGUUUGCAGAUAGUUGUGUGAUGCUGCUUUGAACUAUGAGCAGUUGCUUACAAAAAUUUGAACUGUUCUGUUAUUGUUUCCUGCCUUGUUUCUUCUUCUUUUUUUUUUUGGCAUAUCAACCUCGAGACGACGUCAAACAGACAUGGCAGCUGCAAGCAUUUCUCCAUCUGCAUUCCUUGCUUGAAAUAAAAAGAA